CGGAGAAAGGAGAAGUCGUCAGUUGGGACGGCUGCCAAUUGCUAUAAAAAAGCACAGGCUGGUGGAUUUGAUUUUUUUUCUCAGAUUGUCUUCAUAGGGAGAGGAAGGAAGCACGACAAAGCAGAGUAAGAGAUCUGAGACGAUAUACCAGCGGGGAUUUUCUUACCAAGGGUGAGUGUUUCCAGGCUUGAAUUUCAAGUGGAAACACGAGCACAAGCAAUGGAGAAGAGGAAAACAGAGUGAAGAAAACAGAGUGAAGAAAACAGCUGCAGUCUUCUUUCGCACUUUUGAAGCACUUUCCGAAGUCCAUUUUUUGCAUGCUAUAUACCAUUUGAAAGCUUAGGAAGUCAAGAAUCCAACGCUUCAAACCGUGUAUGAUUUGGAGCUGAAAUGAGGAAGAUAUGGCCUUCGGAAGGCAACUGCAUCAUGUCAAAUGACCAAUUUCGCAAGGUGAAUUUCACAUUGCGAAAAUUUCGCAAGGAGAUUUUCUUCAUGGUGCGAAAUUUUGCCACUUCGCACCAUGAAGAAACACCUUGCGAAAAUUUCGCAAGGAGGAUUUAGGCACAUUGCGAAAUUCCUUUGAAUCCCCUGUUUUGAGACGUUGUUGAUGUUAUUCCACUACCGGUUCUCCAAGAUAUUUUGCUUGAUUUUUAGUCUUGUAAAUACCUAUUUUACCCUUGUAAUCAACCAAUGAAUAGGUUGCUUUUGUAAUAGCUCUUGUAAUUUAGCUUGUUAUUGUCUUUAAAUAGAGGUGAAGAGCCUCAGAUCAUCUAAUCUUGUAACCUGUAACUUUAUAAGUUAUAAGAGCACUUUUGUUCA